GUCUUCUUUUUUUAUCAAGUUAAGUUAGUUGUUUCCUAGCCCUUCGGGUCAGCGCGGGUCGCUCCUCAACCCACUAGGUAGGGUUGUAGAUAUUUUUCCAUUUUUGGUUUAGUUAUUUGCUAGUUUGGGGAUCAAUUGAAAGGGUUUGAAGGCAACCUAUGAGAGCUUCAAUUUUUAAGUUUAAGUGGUGGGAGGGCUUCUCCUCUAUGGUCCCGUUUUGAUGCAUGGGUAGGGGUUGGUCGGUGACUUUGUUGCUCGACUCAAAGCUAGGAGCUGCUUGGGAUCAUCGAGUUCUCGUUUAUCUGCGUGGAUAGCGCUUAGAGACAGGUGCAAAAGAACUCUGCUCUGUGCAUGGGUGUUCUCCCUAGCUCAAAUUCUAUCUUCACCCAUGGUUAUGUUUUCUUGUUUUCGCUAAAGGAUCUUAUGGAUUGUUGUUAAUCAGGGGGCGAUGUUUUUGUGCUGGAAUCACUAUGUGUGACUUGUUGUGGUUCCUUGGCACUAAUACAUGCUGUCGAUUGCUUGCUCUAGGGAAGUUCAGAGAA
rnacentral:misc_RNA from 1 species